rnacentral:pre_miRNA from 1 species
UUGCUGUGAAAGACUUGAGUAGUGAGACGCUUGCACUUUACAAUUAUGUUCAUCAUUAACUUGCAUUUCGGCGCCUCAUACUAAGUCUUUCCAGGCUCA